GAUGAACGCUGGCGGCGUGCCUAAUACAUGCAAGUCGAGCGAACAGACGAGGAGCUUGCUCCUCUGACGUUAGCGGCGGACGGGUGAGUAACACGUGGAUAACCUACCUAUAAGACUGGGAUAACUUCGGGAAACCGGAGCUAAUACCGGAUAAUAUAUUGAACCGCAUGGUUCAAUAGUGAAAGACGGUUUUGCUGUCACUUAUAGAUGGAUCCGCGCCGCAUUAGCUAGUUGGUAAGGUAACGGCUUACCAAGGCAACGAUGCGUAGCCGACCUGAGAGGGGGAUCGGCCACACUGGAACUGAGACACGGUCCAGACUCCUACGGGAGGCAGCAGUAGGGAAUCUUCUGCAAUGGGCGAAAGCCUGACGGAGCAACGCCGCGUGAGUGAUGAAGGUCUUCGGAUCGUAAAACUCUGUUAUUAGGGAAGAACAAAUGUGUAAGUAACUAUGCACGUCUUGACGGUACCUAAUCAGAAAGCCACGGCUAACUACGUG
rnacentral:rRNA from 1 species